GGGCGUCGAACGUAAGAUGACUGUAGGUGAAAGCUUACAUCUCUUCGGAGCAUUUUACGAGGUGCUGCAUGGUUGUCGUCAGCUCGUGCCGUGAGGUGUCGGGUUAAGUCCCAUAACGACGCGCAACCCCUACCUUUAGUUGCCAUCAGGUUAAGCUGGGGACUCUAAAGGAACUGCCUACGCAAGUAGUGAGGAAGCGGGGAUGACGUCAAAUCAGCACGGCCCUUACGUCCAGGGCUACACACGUGCUACAAUGGCCGAUACAGAGGGCAGCUACCUGGUGACAGGAUGCAAAUCUCCAAAGUCGGUCUCAGUUCGGAUCGGAGUCUGCAACCCGACUCCGUGAAGUUGGAUUCGCUAGUAAUCGCGCAUCAGCCAUGGCGCGGUGAAUACGUUCCCGGGCCUU
rnacentral:rRNA from 1 species